UGUCGUUGAGCAAUGCUCGUUACUCAAAAUGAAACUUUUGAAGAACUUAAUAAAUGGCGUCAUUUUUUCGGCCGGUAAUUUCUGGGUUGGACGAAGGAAGACGAUGAACAAAACUGUGGUGCUUUUGUCUAAAACAAAACAAACAUGUUUGUGAAAACGAUGUUACGACAGGAGCUGUAGGCGCCGUUAUUAGCUUGGAACGGAUACAACAACACACUGUUCCAGUCAAACCCUGUAUAUACCAUUCCAUCAGGCGAUUCAGCCCCAAAUCAAAACACAA